UGCAAAUGAUGCUUUUUCUCACGAUGGUCUUCCAAGCCCAGCGGGUUAUGACGACACUGCCAAAUGGCAACACUGAUGUAGUGUA